UAGAUAGUGGUGAAAGGAUCAAAUCCACAGGGAAUUGAGAACUUACCUAUUUUCUUUAUCAAGACCAAUAAAAUAAACUGAAACAAAAAUAAACUGAAAAAGAAGAAAACUGAAAACGAGAUAAACUGAAACGAAAUAAAACUGAAACGAGAUAAAACUGAAAGAGAAAUAAACGGAAAGCAAAAUAAACUGAAACGAGAUAUAACGAGAUAAAACUGAAAGAGAAAUAAACGGAAA
rnacentral:lncRNA from 1 species